rnacentral:misc_RNA from 1 species
CGGAAUUUCCAAGUUAUUUGUUAAUUGUUAUGCUUAUUUAGUUCUGAGAAUACAAGAUUAAUCUACAUUCCCUCUCCCUCUCCGUUAGAGUGAUACUAUGUUUUUUCAUUUGCUUCAAAUUUUAUAACUUCAAGCCCGAUCACAAUCUCAUUAAAAAUUUUGAUUCAAUGUGCAUAACUUCAAUUUAUUUAACAUCAGGUAGCAUGAGUCUUGGAUUCCAGAAGAGGGAUAUGAGUCAUGAUGUUGGUAUGAUCAUUAAUUAAG